rnacentral:misc_RNA from 1 species
GCACCUGUAAAUACCUGGCUGACAUUACACACGUGCAGACAGCGACACACUUAACAGAGAGGGUGACUGUCAGGAGGAGGUAUGUUUUUGUCCAAACUGUUUGGGAGUUGUGGGAGACUCCUGUGGAGUGAGCCCGAGGCCCCAAGCGGGGGUUACGGCAUGGUCAACAAGGAAGAUUCCACCAUGCUGAAUGAAUUCUCACCAGAGGAGGAACCCUUGUCCCCAGAAGACAUUGUAGUUGCUCAGCCCAUCUGGCUGGGUAGGACAGACAGUAUUGUAAAAAAUAAGUCUGUCCCUGAUCUGAACAAGUCCAGUUCUAUCUCAAACAGUAUUGGCAGUGUAUACCAACCCACAACAACAUCGGGUAUACGGUCUAGUAAAUCAACAGAAAACGUUCAGUCGGUUUCAAGUUUUUCACAAAUUCUGAGAUCUUCAGGUAGUCCCAAAACUUCUGUGGUUCGCUCCAAUCCCAAAAAAGGACACUCUGUACACAUAUCUCAAUCAGCGUCUGUGUUUUCGAGUCCGAUCGUGAAAUCUACGGGAAGUUUGAAUCUACCCAAACAACCGGGCACUCGGAACUCAUACAAAGUGUCUAAAAAACAGAAGUCGGAAGAAGUCAAACUUCAAAUUGUGUCUGUUGUCUGAGAUAUUUUUAACUUCCAAGUUUUUAAAUGAAACAUUGCUUAUAAAUGGUGCCAAAAUAUUUACGGUAGUUUGACUCUGUAGAAUGUGUGUUGCUUGAAAUUUUUAGAGAAAAUGUGUUCAAGUGAUCAAAGCUUUACUGGACGGUCAAAGUGUUUUUUUAAAAAGAAAUGUUUCAGUACUGUAUUUUUAUUGUCAAGUUUUGUGAUUUUGCAAGGGUUUUUCCCUUUUUGAUAAAUAAUGAGGUUUUAACAUGGAAGCAGGAAACUUUUACUUAGAAUUUUAUCUUGUCAU